rnacentral:rRNA from 1 species
UACGUAGGGACCAAGCGUUGUCCGGAAUUAUUGGGCGUAAAGAGCUCGUAGGCGGUCUGUCGCGUCGGUUGUGAAAACCUGGGGCUCAACUCCAGGCCUGCAAUCGAUACGGGCAGACUAGAGUUCGGUAGGGGAGACUGGAAUUCCUGGUGUAGCGGUGAAAUGCGCAGAUAUCAGGAGGAACACCGGUGGCGAAGGCGGGUCUCUGGGCCGAAACUGACGCUGAGGAGCGAAAGCGUGGGGAGCGAACAGG